UAAGGAAUAUUGGUCAAUGGACGCAAGUCUGAACCAGCCAUGCCGCGUGAAGGAUGAAGGUCCUCUGGAUUGUAAACUUCUUUUAUCUGGGACGAAAACGGGAUUUUUAUCUCAAUUGACGGUACCAGAGGAAUAAGCACCGGCUAACUCCGUGCCAGCAGCCGCGGUAAUACGGAGGGUGCGAGCGUUAUCCGGAUUUACUGGGUUUAAAGGGUGCGUAGGUGGGCUUAUAAGUCAGUGGUGAAAUCUCCGAGCUUAACUUGGAAACUGCCGUUGAUACUAUAGGUCUUGAAUUAUCUGGAGGUAAGCGGAAUAUGUCAUGUAGCGGUGAAAGGCUUAGAUAUGACAUAGAACACCAAUUACGAAGGCAGCUUACUACGUAUAAAUUGACGCUGAGGCACGAAAGCGUGGGGAUCAAACA
rnacentral:rRNA from 1 species